rnacentral:rRNA from 1 species
UACGUAGGGUGCGAGCGUUGUCCGGAAUUAUUGGGCGUAAAGAGCUCGUAGGCGGUGUGUCGCGUCGGCCGUGAAAACCUGCAGCUUAACUGUGGCUUGCGGUCGAUACGGCAUCACUGGAGUUCGGCAGGGAGACUGGAAUUCCGGUGUAGCGGUGAAAUGCGCAGAUAUCAGGAGGAACACCGGUGGCGAAGGCGGUCUCUGGGCCGAUGACUGACGCUGAGGAGCGAAAGCGUGGGGAGCGAACAGG